ACCGAAAUCGACCUUUCGAUUUCCGCGAAAGCUACAGGAUCAUGGACACUCAGUCCAGAGGUCAAACACACACUUACACGCUGCCCACAGUAGCCACAAGGCGUACAAUUGCACAAAAGCCCCUAUGUUUACAUAAAAUCCAUCAUUUUAUGUAAAUCGGGCGACUCCUAUGACUCGUUCUCACAAACUGAGGACCUCUAAGUUCCGCCGAGACACGUACUGACAGGUCUCGACGUGCCGGAGGCCGUGCUCACGGUCUGGAGCGCAACAGGUCACUGUGGGAAGAGCGGGAGCAACCCGAAGUUCUACGAACAGCGCGCAGUCGGGGAAGAUCGCGCCAAACAGGGCUGACCGGACACUGUUGAUCCAAAGUGAGGUGAGAAAUGUGAUCAGCACUGACCCACGAUCACCGUGCUCACCUCCGGCGGCAUCAGGACAGCCUCAGAUCGCCGGAUAAGCGUGCGCAAACCCAAAAUCAGCAGCCAAACAGGCUUGACAGGGUCGACACUGCCGAAACAGCGGAACGGAGUCUCCCCGGCAAAAUCCAAGGUGAGCACGAUGAUCAGAAAUGAGUCACGAUCAUCGUGCUCCCUUCCGUAUUGAUCAGGGAGGCUCGGGAAGCUCAGAACACGAAUCCGUCCUAAACUAAGCCCUAUUUCGGGCUUGGCCGGAGCAAGGUUGCUCCGGCCGGCUUCCGGCAGC
rnacentral:lncRNA from 1 species